GCCAUGGUGGCACAAUGGUUCAGCUAUUGGCUGCUAACUGAAAGGUUGGUAGUUCGAACCCAUCCAGUGGCU
rnacentral:tRNA from 1 species